GUCUAUGGCCAUGCCACUCUGAAUGUGCCUGAUCUUGGAAGUUAAGCAGGGUUGGGCCUGGUUAGUACUUGGAUGGGAGACCACCUAGGAAUACCAGGUGCUGUGGGAG
rnacentral:rRNA from 1 species